AAUGAACGCUGGCGGCAGGCCUAACACAUGCAAGUCGAGCGGCAGCGGGAAAGUAGCUUGCUACUUUUGCCGGCGAGCGGCGGACGGGUGAGUAAUGCCUGGGAAAUUGCCCAGUCGAGGGGGAUAACAGUUGGAAACGACUGCUAAUACCGCAUACGCCCUACGGGGGAAAGCAGGGGACCUUCGGGCCUUGCGCGAUUGGAUAUGCCCAGGUGGGAUUAGCUAGUUGGUGAGGUAAUGGCUCACCAAGGCGACGAUCCCUAGCUGGUCUGAGAGGAUGAUCAGCCACACUGGAACUGAGACACGGUCCAGACUCGUACGGGAGGCAGCAGUGGGGAAUAUUGCACAAUGGGGGAAACCCUGAUGCAGCCAUGCCGCGUGUGUGAAGAAGGCCUUCGGGUUGUAAAGCACUUUCAGCGAGGAGGAAAGGUUGAUGCCUAAUACGCAUCAACUGUGACGUUACUCGCAGAAGAAGCACCGGCUAACUCCGUGCCAGCCGCCGCCGUAA
rnacentral:rRNA from 1 species